UUAGGUUGGUGCAAAAAUAAUUGUGGUUUUUGCCAUUGAAAGUAAUGGCAAAACCCGCAAUUGCUUUUGUCCCAACCUUAAUA
rnacentral:miRNA from 1 species